rnacentral:rRNA from 1 species
UACAGAGGGUGCGAGCGUUAAUCGGAAUUACUGGGCGUAAAGGGCGCGUAGGCGGUUAUAUAAGUUAGAUGUGAAAUCCCCGGGCUUAACCUGGGAACGGCAUUUAAUACUGUAUGGCUAGAGUAGAAUAGAGGGAAGUGGAAUUUCCGGUGUAGCGGUGAAAUGCGUAGAUAUCGGAAAGAACACCAGUGGCGAAGGCGGCUUCCUGGAUUCAUACUGACGCUGAGGCGCGAAAGCAUGGGGAGCAAACAGG